UUUAGAAUCGCUCUCUCUUUUUAAAAGUCCAAAUUUUGUUGAGGAAGAACAAUAUUUAUUAAAUUGAACAGAAAAAUUUGCUUUUUUUGUAAUCGAAUCGACAUCUUUCAGGUGGGUGUUUAGUAUUUUAUAAAUCAUAAUUGCCUCCUUCGUUUUUCUCUCGAUUUAAUUUAGAAAUCAGUUUAGUAUAGUAUUAAAACAUAAACAAAUAAAGUCUUCACAAAAUUUCUAACCCAAAAUUGGAUCGUAUUCAACUAUAUAUACAUAUUCACGUAUAUUUUAGAGUAAUUUAAUAGGAGUACAUUUUAUUAACUGAGUCAGAAAAAUACAAUCAACUAUCUGAAAAUCGUAUGUGUCUCUGUGUAUUAAAAUAUGCCAUUAGACAAAUUUUUAAAGAGGACAAUAUCAAUUGGCAAUAUAACUUUUGGUUAGAGCUUGUCAACUGACCUCUGUAGCUCAGUUGGUUAGAGCACUGUGCAAGAAUUACAGGGCCAUAGGUUCGAUUCCUGUCAGAGAGCCUAUAGUUUCCCCUGUGUGAGUAAAAUCAUCUGGCGUUAGACAGAGUAAAAUAAUAAAGUAGGGCGCAAUGCGACUCAAUGGGUUAAUAUUGAGCCAUUCUUACGUCUCCACAGUGAUAGAUCCACAGUGCAACCAUGGCCCGAGGACAACAGAAGAUUCAGUCGCAACAAAAGAAUGCUGAGAAACAGGCAAAACUAAAUAAAGGUGGACACGACCACAAGAAAGCGGCGAAGGUCGCUCUCGUCUUUACUUGUACCGUGUGCAAGUCACAGAUGCCAGAUCCCAAGACGUAUAAACAGCACUUUGAGAGCAAACAUCCCAAAUCAGCUCUGCCUGAAGAACUAAAGAGUGUUUAAAUUUCAGGUCAUAACAAGUUAGUAUACGUUCUGUAUAAUCACAUUGGAAUAAACAGCAAAUGCUUUUUGCCAUUGCCUUGUUCUCUUUAGUUGAAAUUUCAAAGGUAGGGGGGGGGGGGAUUUGCCCCCUCCUAGCCACUGUGCUGGAAUUAAUUUCAAACUUGUUUGCAAAUUGAAAAAGUUUUUGUUUUUUUCUAGAAUAUCUCGGGACAUACUGGCUACGGAACUGUUAUCAUACUUAAUUUCUAUCACGUACAUAAAACUGCCUAUCAUAUACAUAUUUCACUAAAACAGAAACUAAGGCACAUACUGUAUUGUGUAAAUGCGAUUUAUUUGAGGGAUUUUGAGUUUGUGUAAUGUACAAUAUUAUAUAUUUUAUUUAUGUACUUUAGUAUAGUUUAUUGGAAAAAUAUUCAUUUUACAAGAUUCUAUAUUUUGCUGUGAAUGUAUUUGUUGUAUAAAAAGAUGAAAUACUA